rnacentral:rRNA from 1 species
UCUCUCUGAAUCUGCGAACGGCUCCGCACACCAGUUGUAAACCAAAGCAAGCAAGCCCGGUCUCGACGCCUUUCGGGGCUAGGGGCCGGGCUACAAGGAUAACCCUGGUAAUUCUGAGGCUAAUACUUGACACCUAACCUGUCGACUGGGUCUCGGCCCGGGAAGCGGGGGAUGUGCGACUAUCGGGCCAACAAAACCGGAAAGAGCGCACGUUCAGACCACUUAAAAAGGCUACGGGGUCCCUCGGGAUCCUGGAGCUGUGGCUCUUGCAGCGUGCUUCUGACCUAUCAACUAGACGGCAGCCUAAGGGACAUGCUUUGGUGACAACGGGUACAGAGGAUAAGGGUUCGAUCCUGGAGAGUGGGCCUGAGAGAUU